rnacentral:rRNA from 1 species
AGUUCGAUCAUAAAGCUCAGAUUGAACGCUGGCAGGAUGCUUCACAUGCAGUCGAACGGCAGCACGGACUUCGGUCUGGUGGCGAGUGGCGAACGGGUGAGUAAUGUAUCCGGAACGUGCCUAGUAGCGGGGGAUAACUACGCGAAAGCGUAGCUAAUACCGCAUACGCCCUUCCAGGAAAGCGGGGGACCUUCGGGCCUCGCACUAUUAGAGCGGCCGAUAUCGGAUUAGCUAGUUGUAGAGGUGGAAUUAACGGCUCACCAAGGCGACGAUCCGUAAGCUGGUUUGAGAGGACGACCAGCCACACUGGGACUGAGACACGGCCCAGACUCCUACAGGGGGGCAGCGGUGGGAAUUUUGGACAAUGGGGGAAACCCUGAUCCAGCCAUCCAUGACGUGCGAUGGCCUUCGGGUUGUAAAGCACUUUUGGCAGGAAAGAAACGUACGGGAUAAUACCCGUGCAACUGACGGUACCUGCAGAAUAAGCACCGGCUAACUACGUGCCAGCAGCCGCAGCUACGUAAGUGCAAGCGUUAAUCAGAUGCUGGGCAUAAAGCUUGUGCGCAGGCGGUUCGGAAAAGAAAAGAUGUGAAAUCCCAGAGCUUAACUUUGGAACUGCAUUUUUAACUACCGAGCUAGAGUGUGUCAGAGGGAGGUGGAAUUCCGCAUUGUAGCAGUGAAAUGCGUAGAUAUGCGGAGGAACACCGAUGGCGAAGGCAGCCUCCUGGGAUAACACUGACGCUCAUGCACGAAAGCGUGGGGAGCAAACAGGAUUAGAUACCCUGGUAGUCCACGCCCUAAACGAUGUCCAACCUUGUGUUGGGGCCUUCGGGCCUUGGUAGCGCAGCUAACGCGUGAAGUUGACCGCCUGGGGAGUACGGUCGCAAGAUUAAAACUCAAAAGGAAUUGACAGGGACCCGCACAAGCGGUGGAUGAUGUGGAUUAAUUCGAUGCAACAUGAAAACCUUACCUACCCUUGACAUGUCUGGAAUCCCGAAAAGAGAUUUAGGAGUGCUCGUAAGAGAACCGGAACACAGGUGCUGCAUGGCUGUCGUCAGCUCGUGUCGUGAGAUGUUGGGUUAAGUCCACCAACAGCGCAACCCUUGUCAUUAGUUGCUACGAAGGGCACUCUAAUGAGACUGCCGGUGACAAACCGGAGGAAGGUGGGGAUGACGUCAAGUCCUCAUGGCCCAUAUGGGUAGGGCUUCACACGUCAUACAAUGGUCGGGACAGAGGGUCGCCAACCCGCGAGGGGAGCCAAUCCCAGAAACCCGAUCGUAGUCCCGGAUCGCAGUCUGCAACUCGACUGCGUGAAGUCGGAAUCGCUAGUAAUCGCGGAUCAGCAUGUCGCGGUGAAUACGUUCCCGGGUCUUGUACACACCGCCCGUCACACCAUGGGAGUGGGUUUUACCAGAAGUAGUUAGCCUAACCGUAAGGAGGGCGAUUACCACGGUAGGAUUCACUUGACUGGGGUGAAGUCGUAACAAGGUAG